GAUAAGGAAAGAGAGCCACACACAACCGACGUCUGAGAAAAAGCUCAAUCGUAUCCAGCGUCUUUGCCUAAAAGAAAAGGAAGAAGGGAAGGAGAUGCGAGAAGGAGAAACGAAACGGCAGUCCCAGAAUCCCAGGAGAUGCUUCAUUGCUGAAUUCUGAGGUUUUGGACCAUUGGGGUUGCUAGGUGUGCGUUCAAGUUAGUUUACUGAUAAUCUGAUGCGAUAACGUGGUGGAAGUUUGGACUCUUCCUGGGACUUGGGAUCAUCUGGAGCUAGUUGAAAACGAUGUACCAACAAAUAAAAGGGAAUUAUACUUCUCUUUCCCUUUCGGUUUUUUCAUUUUUGGCCUCAAAUUAGAAUACUUGUGGUUGAGAAGUUA